GCAUCCUCUGGAGUUUCCUCGGAACACUUCAAUUGGGACAUGUAUGGCUUCCUGUUUCUCUACUGAAGUGUUUGGGGGAACUCUUGGUGGUGC
rnacentral:pre_miRNA from 1 species